rnacentral:rRNA from 1 species
UGACGCAUACCGAACUAAAGUAGGGAAAUGUGUGAGCCGGCUGCCGAGAAAAGCCGCUAUUGUUUGUACUGUACCCGUACCGUAAGCCGACACAGGUGGAUGAGGAGAGAAUCCUAAGGCCGACGGAAGAAGCAUUGCUAAGGAACUCGGCAAAAUGACCCUGUAACUUCGGGAGAAAGGGUGCCUCGAAAGAGGCCGCAGAGAAUAGGCCCAAGCAACUGUUUAGCAAAAACACAGGUCUAUGCAAAACCGCAAGGUGAAGUAUAUGGGCUGACGCCUGCCCGGUGCUGGAAGGUUAAGGGGAGAUGUCAGGAGACGAAGCAUCGAACUUAAGCCCCAGUAAACGGCGGCCGUAACGAUAACGGUCCUAAGGUAGCGAAAUUCCUUGUCGGGUAAGUUCCGACCCGCACGAAAGGCGUAAUGAUUUGGGCGCUGUCUCGGCAAUGCAUCCGGUGAAAUUGAAGUGCCAGUGAAGAUGCUGGCUACCCGCGCCAGGACGGAAAGACCCCAUGGAGCUUUACUCCAGCUUGAUACUGGGAUUCGGUAUUGUAUGUACAGGAUAGGUGGGAGGCUGAGAAAUGGUGACGCCAGUCGCCAUGGAGCCGCUGUUGGGAUACCACCCUUGCAGUACUGGAUUUCUAACCAGCAGCCGUGAUCCGGCUGGGGGACAAUGUCAGGUGGGGAGUUUGACUGGGGCGGUCGCCUCCGAAAGGGUAUCGGAGGCGCUCAAAGGUUCCCUCAGAAUGGUCGGAAACCAUUCGAAGAGUGCAAAGGCAGAAGGGAGCUUGACUGCGACACCGACGGGUGGGGCAGGUACGAAAGUAGGACUUAGUGAUCCGGUGGUAUUAAGUGGGAAUGCCAUCGCUCAACGGAUAAAAGCUACCCUGGAUAACAGGCUUAUCACUCCCAAGAGUUCACAUCGACGGAGUGGUUUGGCACCUCGAUGUCGGCUCAUCGCAUCCUGGGGCUGUAGUAGGUCCCAAGGGUUGGGCUGUUCGCCCAUUAAAGCGGUACGCGAGCUGGGUUCAGAACGUCGUGAGACAGUUCGGUCCCUAUCCGGCGUGGGCGUAGGAUAUUUGAGAGGAGCUGACCUUAGUACGAGAGGACCGGGUUGGACUGACCUCUGGUGCACCGGUUGUCAUGCCAAUGGCACAGCCGGGUAGCCAAGUCGGGAAGGGAUAAACGCUGAAGGCAUCUAAGCGUGAAGCCCCCCUCAAGAUGAGAUAUCCCCCGCAUAAGCGGUAAGACCCCUUGAAGACGACGAGGUAGAUAGGGCAGAGGUGGAAGUGCAGUAAUGUAUGGAGCUGACUGCUACUAAUAGGUCGAAGGCGAA